rnacentral:rRNA from 1 species
GUCGGUAGACUUGCCUGCUCUUGUCUGAUCUCAGAGGCUAAGCAGGGUCAGGCCUGGUUAGUACUUGGAUAGGAGACAUACUGGGUGCUGUAGGCUUUUGCCUGCC